AAAUACAUGUUUAUGUUAAACAUAAAUUGUAAUUUAUCAUUUAUAUGUACUUGUUAUUGGGCUUUUGAAGCAAUCCUUCUGCUGUAUGUUUCUGUUGUAGACUAUUUUUGUUUCGGAUGUACUUUGUGAUACAUGACUCUCUGGCUGUAUUUGAUAUGAGCUGAGUUUCCGUGAAAAUCACCCUGACCUUAUAUUUUUGCAAAGCAACAAGAUAAACAGAGUACCAAGAAAAACAACAUUUAUUAGGAACCGAUGAAACAGGUCAGAAGACAAACAUCAUAAUAGUCAGUCGUGGUGAAGUUAUAGAACUAUGAAGUCCUUCGACUGUUCCGCCGUACACAAUCUAAAAGGAAAACUUAGCGUCUAACUGUAUAAGGGCUGAAUACUAAAUAUGCAACUAGAGGUGCACACUUUGUUCCCUUUGGAAUAACAUACCAGUGACUUGUUCAAUAAUAAGGAAGGGCUUUACAAACUUCGUCACAGGUCCAAAUAGUAUAAUUUUUUACAAUACGACUGAUAAAAAUAUUUUAAUUGAAAUUUCAAACGAACAAAGUAGCAUUUCCCUGGCAAAAGUCUUUUAAUUAGGUGUCUUAAAGUAAACUUAGGUUUAGGUGGAAGUAGAAGCUGUCAUUAUUAAAGAUAUUACGUUUCCAAGACGACAAUGCAUUGGGAUCAGCAUUUUCACGUCAGCACCAUUUAAAAGAAACAAGUUUCAAUAGAUUCUGCAAUCUGAUCAUGACAUGCAUUAAAAUCAAUACUUGAAGGAAUUCUGUAUUUAGAGUAAGAAUAAAUGACGAAUAAACGAUUUCAUUUAUGAUAUCAAAAUUACCAGUGAUGACAUGACCUGCCCCUGAUUAGCAAAAUUUUGACUUUAUAUAUUUACUGGAAGUUGGAGUAUUUGUAUGUACAGCUUUAGGUCUGAAACAAUUUUAUUGUAACUGAAUAUGAUAUUCCUUACAGGAGUGUUAUAUCUAUAACAGAUAAUCAGAACUUCAGUGUAAUUGAAAUAUGUAGCCACAGAAUCAACGACACGUUUAUCCCGAAAUAUACACGGUGUAUCGAUGAAGUUAAUACCUUCAUCAUAAAACAUAUCUCAAGGAAGUGUCUGUCAUGGUCAGAUUGAGUGUCAAUAUGUGGACGAAGAAUACUUAAUAUGUUGUGUAUAACUUUGAACAAGGUAUCAUGAUAUAGUGAAGAAAGGAUUUAUUUGAAUAAAGCACUGGUCUCAUUCCUAAUCUAAUCCUUUUAAGGACUCUGAACAGAUAAAGAGAAAUCCUUGAGUGUCUACCAGAGUUUGAAAGAAUUAAAUCAAUGUCUUUCGCAUAAUAUCACUAUGCGUCUUAUUCCAUGAGAUAUAGAAUUACGUUUCCUAAUGUUUAAGUAGAAAAAAUAUCAAUAUCAGGGUUUUUAAAAUUA